UUUAGUGUAAACCUACCUUAACCAGCCCCAAUUAAUAAUUGUUGACAUUCCAAACGAGCAAGGAAUUUUUUUAUUGUUUAUGUUUUUAACAAAAAUUGCAAUUUUUUAGUUCACAUUCCAUAAAAAUAUAAAAAAAUGGCACCCAAUAAAACUGAUUUCGACUUAACAGAUAGGGGCUGGGUUGAUUUGUAUGUUAAAAAAUGUGAAAACAUAAUGAAGGAGUUCACCGAAUAUGUUUAUGCUUUACAAAAUCAUUGUUUGAAAGAACAUAGUAAGAUUGUUGAUCUCGAUAAGCACUGUAAGCAGCUAAAAACAAAAUUGGUUGAAGAGAAACAAAAACAAAAGCCACAAGAUGUUAAAGGAGCUACUUUAUAUGCACCUUUAGCACCGAGCCCCAUAAAUAACGAUAUACUGAGUGUUACCAGAAUAUCAACACCUUCUAAAGCUGAUGCAGAUCGUACAACAAUAAGUGACGGCUCGCCGGCAUUUUUAAAUAUGGCUAUGGAUAGCGAACAAUUAAAUAUGGAAUCAUCUUGCGUUUUAAGCCCCGCACAACACCGUCAAGACAUAUUUUCUUCAUCCGAGCAGUUAAGUAGUCCGAAUCGCAGUUCUAUUGCCAUUGACAGUGCUUUACAACAUAACACAUCACCGACAUGUAAACUUAAAAGCAGCAAUGAAAACAAAAGUGCAUUAGGUUUUUUAAAAGCGCGCGGGCGCGUAGGCAAAACCCUGUAUAACGAUACGUAUGAACAUAAGCUACGUGAACAAAACCCAACAGCAAAUGAAAAUGAGAGGGAAAUGUUAAGGAAUAAAGCCAAGUUGCAAGCAAAGCGCUCGGAUUGGAUAGGAAAGGACAAAAAAAGUGAGGAACGCAAGGCUGGCUUGAAACGAAGCGCUAGCAAUCUAGAUGAGGUGCUACGCAAACGUAGCAUGAUGUCGUUGAGUAAAAGUGGCGAACGAAAAUUAAAACAAUCACGUUUAACACAAAUGGUCUCAAUGAAAUCGUUUAAAGCACAAAAUGAUAGCAUAUCAACUUCACCGGCAGAUGUGAGCGAUGCACAAAUAUUUGCAUUUUCGCCAACAGCAGCUACCACAAUACAAAGAAAGCUAGAUUUUCCAACAUUUUCCAAUGAUACCGACGAUAUAUUCCAAUUCAGCAGCGAUGAUGAUGAUGUUGAUGAACAAAGUGUCAAGAAAACAACCGUAAACAGCGCAAUAAAACAAAAUAUAAAAAAAUCGUAUGAUACAACAUUUUUUCAACCGAACGAAACAGAUAAAACUGAAAGUGUUUUGGCUAUCACACCAACAGCACCGCCAUUAAUUUGUAUAGAUGACUCAGAUGAUAAUGAACAUGGAACAGAUAGCAGAGUGCACUUUGGAAAGCUGACGACAGCGCAACAAGCCGCGCAAAAACCUACAAAAGCGACAAGUGUUAUUGUGAAAAAAGAAAAAUCAGGCACUGAGAAUUUAGCCACCGAAUUGGCAGCAGCAAUGCUAGCCGAAUGGGAGGAAGACGAGCCAGAUCAUGAGGACAUAAAAGCUGAAACGCCGCAAACAACAGCGAAACACAAAGCUAAAGCAGUUGAUGUAAAACGGCGUCUCUCACAACUACCUGCGGCGAAAAUUUCAAUCAAAGAACGCUACAAUAUCGAUUGUGAUGAGUGUCAAAAAUAUAUCGACUUUAUGGGCAGCAAUAUGAGUUUGUCUGAUAUUGAGGCGCAUCUACGACGCUGUACACUACACCGCACGGCUAAAGAUGACUUGCCAACAACGCCACCAAAUUACUGGAAUCCUUUGAUGCCAUCGUUCUCCGAAAAUGAUCCACGCAACAAAACGCUGUUAGAAGAUCCGUAUAUACAACGGAAACGUGGCAGCAAUAAAUUAUAGAAUUUUAAGGCCUUUAGGGCAUGACAUUUGUUUUUAAGUUUUAUAAGUUUCCACGUCUUGCUUGCUCGAUUUCAAUAGCGGUGAAGAGGGACUUGAAAUUGCCGGCACCGAAACCCUUUAAAGAGAGAAAAGAUAAAAUUUUAAUACAAUAACAGAAUAUAACAUAAAGGACUAGUGUUUAAAAGGUUUUUUCGAUGCGUCUCCAAGUAAUAUGAGUACAAAUGUAUGUACAUAAUAACGCCAACAUUCAUUCUAUGCAUUUAAGUGUCAUAUUAUGUAAACAAUGUGUGAUUAUAAAAUACAAAAACCAAAAUAAAAUAAUUGAUUACAACGAAAAGCUUAUUAAACAUUAAAGUCACUAUAAUAACUAUUCGAGUGCUUUGCGCUGCGGUGUAUUAAAGUGUGGCAACGAUAAAACAAAAUGCACACACUGCAAAG